GUAAUAUUUAUUAUUUAUAUAUAAAUAAAUGGCCUUGCCUGCAUUGUUUUUGUACUUUGCUCAUCGCAGUCUUCCCAAAGGAGGAAGUGGGUGUGUUUGGCCUCAAGGAACAUGUGACCCUAAAGGUUAUGACCUCAUGUCAUGGUCAUCGAUGAGGCUAGAGAUUACACGCAUCCUCAGUGGAGCUAAUGACAGAAAAUAAGACUAAUGCCAAGAAGACUGAAACAAGUGAAGCACAAAUAACGUCACCAAAGGAGUCGAGCUCAGGACGGACUGAUGUUUCUCUCUGUUCAUGUGUACAGUUACUGUAAAUAUGACAUUAACCUGUCAGAUUCUGUUCAUGUCUUCAGACUAAAUGGAUCCAUGUGCUUCAACACAAAAUACUUAAAGAGUUCACCAGGUCACAACAGUGCAAUAAACUGACUGAUGUGUGUGUGUGUUCAUGUGUAGAUUAAACCACCAGAACUACCUUUAAUAGUCUCUAGAUUAUAACUGUGAGUUCAACUAAAAGAACUUGAAUGCAAAAGCAACAUUAGUUAGUGUGUCAUAUUCUAUCAUUUACAGUUCUAUUUGAGUAGAUUUUCAUUUGUUUGAAUGUUUGUAGGGAUGGAAAGACGGAAGCUGUGAAUACUGUCUGAAAUUAAUUCCAUCCUUGUGAAAGAAUCUCAAUCGUUCAUUUAAUCUUUUUAUGAAUUUAUGUUUAAAGCAAUGACAGCGUUCUAGAGUUAAACAUGUAAAGUUUUUCAUGAUUAGGGAAACCAUGAUUUAUUAUUAAAAAAAUACGCAUCUGAAAACAAUGGAAGUCCAUUUCUGCUACAGAAUAGAAAAGCAACCCUGACUUUCUUAGUAUUCCAACUGUUCUUCCCAGAAUUCCGAGUUAAAAUCUCAUAAUUCAGUCUUUUGUUCUUGUGAGUCUUAGAUUAUAUCUCUAAAUUCUAAAUCUGUCACAAUUCAGAUUUAAUAAAAAAUUGUGAAUUUAGGUGAUUCUCACUGAAUUGUGAGGCCACAAUGAUUUAAUAUUUUUUUCAUUCUGCGCUGGAAAGAGGCUUCCAUACGAUAAUGCAAUCUUAAUCUAACCAGCUAAUUGUGGGUCUUUUCUUGUUUUAUCUGACAUGUUAAGCGUGUUGCACAUCAUUAUAAUGUUGUCAUAUGGUAUUGUUUUGUGUUGGACUCGUCCAGCGUUUAAAAGGGAAUGAGGUUUAAUGCAGUCGAGCCGUUUGGCCAUCGUGUGAUAUGUUAAUGUGUGUUUGUGGAAAAAGCACUUUCACUCUUGAAUUGUACUGCUAAUCCUGGACAGAUGGAUACGGUGAUAUAAGCUGAUGUAGUGAGUUAUAAACGCUCCAGUCUUUAAUGUAUAAACUAGAGAUCAAUAGCAAUGAUCAUUUGUGGUUCCCCCAGACUUUCCUCCGAUCGUGCUCGUCUCAGGAUGGUUCUGGGCGAACCUGGUGUGUGUAAAUAUAAAGCUGCUGCAUGAUGGGAAUCUGUUCUCAGCUGGUUUUACGAGUCUUCCCAUUUGACAGAUGAUGUUCUGAUGGAGAAUCUUUACUUGAAAAAGUCAAAACUCCUGAAAUGCACUUUAUCUUGUUGUGUUGCACCUUCUAAUGUGAUACUAAAAUAAAUCUUUCUACUGCA